UACAGAGGUCUCAAGCGUUGUUCGGAUUUAUUGGGCGUAAAGAGCGUGUAGGCGGCCAGGUAGGUCCGUUGUGAAAACUCGAGGCUCAACCUCGAGACGUCGGCGGAAACCCUCUGGCUAGAGUCCGGAAGAGGAGAGUGGAAUUCCUGGUGUAGCGGUGAAAUGCGCAGAUAUCAGGAAGAACACCCGUGGCGAAGGCGGCUCUCUGGGACGGUACUGACGCUGAGACGCGAAUGCGUGGGGAGCGAACCGG
rnacentral:rRNA from 1 species